rnacentral:rRNA from 1 species
GGACGAACGCUGGCGGCGUGCCUAAUACAUGCAAGUCGAACGCUUUUUCUUUCACCGGAGCUUGCUCCACCGAAAGAAAAGGAGUGGCGAACGGGUGAGUAACACGUGGGUAACCUGCCCAUCAGAAGGGGAUAACACUUGGAAACAGGUGCUAAUACCGUAUAACAAUCGAAACCGCAUGGUUUCGGUUUGAAAGGCGCUUUUGCGUCACUGAUGGAUGGACCCGCGGUGCAUUAGCUAGUUGGUGAGGUAACGGCUCACCAAGGCAACGAUGCAUAGCCGACCUGAGAGGGUGAUCGGCCACAUUGGGACUGAGACACGGCCCAAACUCCUACGGGAGGCAGCAGUAGGGAAUCUUCGGCAAUGGACGCAAGUCUGACCGAGCAACGCCGCGUGAGUGAAGAAGGUUUUCGGAUCGUAAAACUCUGUUGUUAGAGAAGAACAAGGAUGAGAGUAGAAUGUUCAUCCCUUGACGGUAUCUAACCAGAAAGCCACGGCUAACUACGUGCCAGCAGCCGCGGUAAUACGUAGGUGGCAAGCGUUGUCCGGAUUUAUUGGGCGUAAAGCGAGCGCAGGCGGUUUCUUAAGUCUGAUGUGAAAGCCCCCGGCUCAACCGGGGAGGGUCAUUGGAAACUGGGAAACUUGAGUGCAGAAGAGGAGAGUGGAAUUCCAUGUGUAGCGGUGAAAUGCGUAGAUAUAUGGAGGAACACCAGUGGCGAAGGCGGCUCUCUGGUCUGUAACUGACGCUGAGGCUCGAAAGCGUGGGGAGCAA